rnacentral:rRNA from 1 species
AUGCCAGACCAGCUCGUGUGGAAGUGGACCGCGUCGGGCACCUACACCGCCAAAUCUGCCUACAUCGCUUCCUUCCACGGUUCGACGACCUGCAACAACUGGAAGCUCGCAUGGAAGAGUUGGGCACUACCCGGAGUGAAAUUCUUCCUCUGGCUUGUCAGCUUGGAUCGAUGCUGGACGGUGGACCGCCUCGCCCGGCAUGGACUGCAACACCACAACAGCUGCCCCCUUUGCAGCCAGGAGCCUGAAACAUUGCGCCAUCUCCUCCUUGGGUGCCCCUUCUCGAGGCACGUCUGGUUCGAGAUCCUCGCUUGGAUGCGCAUGACUUGCAGGCCCCCGAACAAUGAGGCUACCCUCUUUGAUUGGUGGCAUGAUGCCCGGCAAGUCACGCCCAAGGCGAUGCGCAAAGGGCUGGCAUCCGUGACACUUCUUACAUCCUGGAUGAUCUGGAAGCACCGAAACGAUUGCAUCUUCAACGACGCGCGCCCAUCCAUCCGAACGCUGGUUCACGGCAUCAAGGAGGAGGCCAAACUUUGGGCUGUGGCAGGCGCUGCUGGACUUAGAGUAGUCUUGCCUCCGACCUGGGAUGUGCAUUAG